AACGAACGCUGGCGGCAUGCUUAACACAUGCAAGUCGAACGAAGUCCCCGGGCUUGCCUGGGGAUCCUUAGUGGCGGACGGGUGAGUAACGCGUGGGAACCUGCCUUGGAGCGGGGAAUAACCAUUGGAAACGAUGGCUAAUACCGCAUAUUUCCUGAGGGAGAAAGGCUUCGGCCACUCCAAGAUGGUCCCGCGUCUGAUUAGCUUGUUGGUAAGGUAACGGCUUACCAAGACGACGAUCAGUAGCUGGUCUGAGAGGAUGAUCAGCCACACUGGGACUGAGACACGGCCCAG
rnacentral:rRNA from 1 species